AAGUGUAUAGCAACGGUUUUUUCAAAGCUCACCUACUUUUUACUGAUCGUCAUUAUAAUUAGUAAAACAAUAAACACCUACUAGUAGAAUCGCCGAUUUACCAUAAUUUCGUAUUGCGCUUAAUUCUCUUCCCGAGGUAUUUUGUUAUUGCGAUGGCUUGCCACAAUAAAUUAACUAUUGUACGAUUGCCGUCACACUAUUUCUAUCUAAAAAUACUCUCAUUCCCAUUCCCAUUUUUAUCUCUCCAUCCAUACUUACUACAUAUGUUGGAUAUCUAUAUCUGUCAAACUUUAACUUCGUUGAACAUGCUAAUUAACCAAAAUUAAUACAUGAA